GUAAGGAAUAUUGCUCAAUGGGAGAAAUCCUGAAGCAGCAACGCCGCGUGGAGGAUGAAGGGUCUAUGACUUGUAAACUCCUGUAAAGAAGGAAAAAAUUCCCAUUUGAUGGGAGAUGAUGGUACUUCUGGAGUAAGCCCCGGCUAACUACGUGCCAGCAGCCGCGGUAAUAAGUAGGGGGCAAGCGUUGUCCGGAUUUACUGGGUGUAAAGGGUACUCAGGCGGAUUUGUAAGUCAGAGGUGAAAUCUUACAGCUUAACUGUGAAACUGCCUUUGAUACUGCAAGCCUAGAGUAUGGAAGAGAGUGAUGGAAUAUCUGGUGUAGCAGUGAAAUGCGUAGAUAUCAGAUAGAACACCAAUGGCGAAGGCAGUCACUUGGUCCAUUACUGACGCUAAAGCACGAAAGCGUGGGUAGCAAACA
rnacentral:rRNA from 1 species